rnacentral:lncRNA from 1 species
UGGUGUAGUCAGUGCCGAAAGGGGUCUGUUCCUUCUUGAGCCUGCCUGCAGGGAUGGUCUCCUUUUAAAGCAGGUUGUGUGCAGCAUUCAGUACACUGAAGGCAUAAACCUUCCACUCUUGAACAAAGCAGCUGCUUUUUAAAAGCGAAAAAGGAAAACGGGGCACAGGCCAUUCGACGCCUUCUCCAAGGGGUCUGAUUUGCUGAGACACCAGCUUCACCUUCUUAACAAGGCACCUAAUUACAACAAGCAUGCACAUUUUGGUGCAUUCAAGAAUGGAAAAUCAGAAUAGCAGCAUUGAUUCUUCUGGUGGGUUUUGCUCCAUUUAAAGACAUGAAAUGAACUACAGCCAGGAAGGUGAUAGAUGAUAUAAUAAGCCACCUCUGAACCUACACCCCGUCUCUUCACGGUUUAGACUUACUAAAAUAAAUACAAGGUGAUUUUCAUCUUCAGGUAGAGUGAAGCCUUUUAAUUAAGGCGUCACAGGUGCAGCUAUUCUACCUUAAUGAAAUGGGUAGUGAUUUUCCCACCAUUAUUUAUUUCGGUGAUAAUAUGCUGCAUAUUCAAGUCUCUUGUAGUUAUUUUCACCCAAAGUAGUUGACAAUUUGAUGCUUCUGGUGAUGUUUAUGGCUUCAUUUUAUGUAAUUUUUUAAGUAAGUUCCACUAGAAACAGUUCAUCUUAUACCUUCAAAACUGUUACCUGUUCUUUAAAAAACAAAGUUGCUUGUUACUUGUUCUUUGUGUUUUAGGUGCAGCUCAGUGGAAGAUGAUGACAACCAGAAGACAUGAGCUAAGGGUAAGGGACUGUUCUGAAGAACCUUUCCAUUUAGUGAUCAAGAUAUGGAAGCUGAUUUCUGAAAAUGCUCAGUGUGUACUCUAAUUAUUUAUGGUACCAUUUGAAUUGUAACUUGCAUUUUAGCAGUGCAUGUUUCUAAUUGACUUACUGGGAAACUGAAUAAAAUAUGCCUCUUAUUA